CUAGCCUACUAAAUAGUUCGGCCAUCCCGCUUGCGUGGGUGCUAACUUCUUAGAGGGACAAGUGGGGUUUGGCCACACGAGAUUGAGCAAUAGCAGCUCUGUGAUGCCUUUAGAUGUCCGGGGCCGCACGAGCCCUACACUGAAGGAAUCAGCGUGGAUGCUUUCCUGGCCCGACAGGGUUGGGAAACACGUUGAAUCUCUUUCGUGAUAGGGAUUGGGGCUUGAAAUUCUUCCCCAUGAACGAGGAAUUCCCAGUAAGCGCGAGUCAUAAGCUAGCGUUGAUUACGUCCCUGCCGUUUGUACACACCGCCCGUCGCUACUACCCAUUGAACGGUUUAGUGAGGGCCUCGAGUUGGUCUCGGCCCGCCCUUCUCCGGCAGGCGUGGGGGGUGGAGAAGAUGGUCGAACUUGAUUGUUUAGAGGAAGUAAAAGUCGUAACAAGGUUUCAGGAGGUCAACCGGAAGAAGGAUCAUUAA
rnacentral:rRNA from 1 species